rnacentral:lncRNA from 1 species
GUGUGUGUGUGUCUGGUCGAAUACAUCAGGAACCAAGAAGGAGCUCUUGCCAAAACACUAAACACAUAAAUUUGAGUAAAUUCAAGAGGAAUCAAGCAUAGACAUUUGGGGUUUUAACUAAAAUCGUGAUCAACUAGCUUAGGGGAUCACAAGGCAAGGAGGUUGAAUCUUCAAGCGGUCAAGUUGGAGCGGACGCGCGCUUGAAGGAUAAGCUUUGAAAGUGAUAAAGUAUGUGUUUGGUGAAUGACAUAGGCCUCCGGAUGAAGAUCAAGCGACGAAUAAGAACCGAACACACGUCUAAAUGA